GUGUGAAUUGCAGAAUUCCGCGAAUCAUCGAGUCUUUGAACGCAAGUUGCGCCCGAGGCUUGACCAAGGGCAUCUCUGCCAGAGCGUCACCGCGACACCCACCAGUCCACUCUGAAAGGAAAUGGGACUGAGUGAAAGUGGCCGUCCGAAUGGGGGCCACCCGAAUGAGUGAAUGGGGACAACUUAGCCGUUGUUCUCAAUCAAUUAGCUGGGUGGCCAGAUUGGGUUGGCUGAAAUGGAGGGAAUUUGGCCGCCGUGGUGACACAGCCCGCGAUCAGGUGAUUGGAGCAAGUCCAACAUGUGUGGUGCUGUGUCUCCCAGUUGUGCAAGGGUUCCAAAGCAGGUCUCUCCCGAAGGUCACUUCGGGAGAAAAACGUCCCGCAUCAGACCUCUGAUCAGAGAAGACUACCCGCUGAGUUUAA
rnacentral:rRNA from 1 species